rnacentral:lncRNA from 1 species
UUCCGUCACAGAUUGGGACCCAACGGGAGGAGAGCGGGGCAGAGGACUGCAUGGUGAGGACGGCGCUGGCAGGCAGGCAGCGCCCCUGAGGGAGCCCCCGGAAUGGGACUUCCUGGACAGCCGCCCCAUCCACACAGACUCCCUCCUGGACCCCUCUGGGGCCUGCAUUCCCGCCCUGCAGGAGGGGAUGGUGCGAAGGGGAGCUCUGUGGUCGGCACCCAGGGGCACUUGGCCACUGUGGCCCCAAGUCUUUGGAAGGUCCUCCUUUUUUGUCCACCAUUCCCGGUGGAGCUGCACUCCCAGGAGACUCCACCAGCUGAACUCCUGUCCCAGCUGGAGCAAGCUGAGCCCACUGAGGCACAGCCCACGGGACCAGCUCCAGCCCCAGCUGAAGUCCCACGUGUGGAGCCUGAGCCAGCUCCACCUGCAGCUUCCUGCCCAGCCCUGGGACCACAGCCAGAGUCCAUGGCAGCCCCUUCACCUGCUGCAGUGCUGGGUCACCCGGUGGCUGCACGGCGGUCAGUGUCACCUCCUGAGCCCUGCCUGGGGCCAGCUCCUGGCCCCCUCCCACUGUUCCCCUCACUUACGGUGGCUCUUGUUUUGGUAUUUACAAUUGCCCUUAUUUCUUGGAUUUAUAUAAAUAAUAGAACUAGUUUUUAAUAAAACUUAAAAUUUUAGUGUUUAAAAGGGUCAGCGUGGUGGCCUGAAGUGCCUUCUCCCGUGUGCGCCCAUCCCCAGAGCACUGUGCUUGGUGGCUCCCGCCCACACCCCUGGCCACUGCUCCUGUCGUGUCCCCAUGGGCACCUGG